AGUGAACGCUGGCGGUAGGCCUAACACAUGCAAGUCGAACGGCAGCACAGUAAGAGCUUGCUCUUACGGGUGGCGAGUGGCGGACGGGUGAGGAAUACAUCGGAAUCUACUUUUUCGUGGGGGAUAACGUAGGGAAACUUACGCUAAUACCGCAUACGACCUACGGGUGAAAGCAGGGGAUCUUCGGACCUUGCGCGAUUGAAUGAGCCGAUGUCGGAUUAGCUAGUUGGCGGGGUAAAGGCCCACCAAGGCGACGAUCCGUAGCUGGUCUGAGAGGAUGAGCGGCCACACGGGACCUGAGACACGGCCCAGACUCCGACGGGAGGAAGCAGUGGGGAAUUUUGGACAAGGGGCGAAAGCCUGACCCAGCAAACCCGCGGGAGUGAAGAAGGCUUUCGGAUAGAAAACCCUUUUUGGGGGGAAAGAAAAGAAGCGUUUGAAACCCCGGUUGUUCUGACGGUACCAAAGAAGAAAGCCCCGGCUAACUUCGUG
rnacentral:rRNA from 1 species